CGGUAGCUGGUCUGAGAGGACGAUCAGCCACACUGGGAUUGAGAACGGCCCAGACUCCUACGGGGGGCAGCAGUGAGGAAUUUUCGUCAAUGGGGGCAACCCUGAACGAGCAACGCCGCGUGCAGGAAGAAGGUUUUCGGAUCGUAAACUGCUUUUCUCGGGGACGAGCAAGGACGGUACCCGAGGAAUCAGCCCCGGCUAACUACGUGCCAGCAGCCGCGGUAAUACGUAGGGGGCGAGCGUUGUCCGGAGUUACUGGGCGUAAAGCGCACGCAGGCGGUUCUUUCAGUUCAACGUGACAGUCGUCGGCUCAACUGACGAAGGACGAGGAAGACGGGAGAACUUGAGGGCUUCAGAGGGACACGGAAUUCCGGGUGGAGUGGUGAAAUGCGUAGAGAUCCGGAGGAACACCGAAGGCGAAGGCAGUGUCCUGGCGAGUGACUGACGCUGAGGUGCGAAAGCUAGGGGAGCGAACGGGAUUAGAUACCCCGGUAGUCCUAGCCGUAAACGAUGACCACCAGGUGUGGGAGGUAUCGACCCCUUCCGUGCCGGAGUUAACACACUAAGUGGUCCGCCUGGGGAGUACGGUCGCAAGAUUAAAACUCAAAGGAAUUGACG
rnacentral:rRNA from 1 species